rnacentral:rRNA from 1 species
UGGAAACGGUAGCUAAUACCGCAUAACGUCGCAAGACCAAAGAGGGGGACCUUCGGGCCUCUUGCCAUCGGAUGUGCCCAGAUGGGAUUAGCUAGUAGGUGGGGUAACGGCUCACCUAGGCGACGAUCCCUAGCUGGUCUGAGAGGAUGACCAGCCACACUGGAACUGAGACACGGUCCAGACUCCUACGGGAGGCAGCAGUGGGGAAUAUUGCACAAUGGGCGCAAGCCUGAUGCAGCCAUGCCGCGUGUAUGAAGAAGGCCUUCGGGUUGUAAAGUACUUUCAGCGGGGAGGAAGGGAGUAAAGUUAAUACCUUUGCUCAUUGACGUUACCCGCAGAAGAAGCACCGGCUAACUCCGUGCCAGCAGCCGCGGUAAUACGGAGGGUGCAAGCGUUAAUCGGAAUUACUGGGCGUAAAGCGCACGCAGGCGGUUUGUUAAGUCAGAUGUGAAAUCCCCGGGCUCAACCUGGGAACUGCAUCUGAUACUGGCAAGCUUGAGUCUCGUAGAGGGGGGUAGAAUUCCAGGUGUAGCGGUGAAAUGCGUAGAGAUCUGGAGGAAUACCGGUGGCGAAGGCGGCCCCCUGGACGAAGACUGACGC